GUGUCAGCCGCCGCGGUAAUACGUAGGGGGCGAGCGUUGUCCGAAGUUACUGGGCGUAAAGCGCGCGUAGGCGGUUUCUUAAGUCUGGGGUGAAAGGUUCAACGCUCAACGUGAACAGUGCCUUGGAUACUGGGAGACUUGAGUUAGGGAGAGGGUAGUGGAAUUCCUGGUGUAGCGGUGAAAUGCGUAGAUAUCAGGAGGAACACCAAUGGCGAAGGCAGCUACCUGGCCUAUAACUGACGCUGAGGUGCGAAAGCGUGGGGAGCAAACGGGAUUAGAAACCCCCGUAGUCC
rnacentral:rRNA from 1 species